UACGGGGGGGGCAAGCGUUGUUCGGAAUUACUGGGCGUAACGAGUGUGUAGGCGGUGCUCUAAGUCUGUCGUGAAAUCUCCCGGCUUAACUGGGAGGGUGCGGCGGAAACUGGUGUGCUAGAGGGUGGGAGAGGUAAGCGGAAUUCCUGGUGUAGCGGUGAAAUGCGUAGAUAUCAGGAGGAACACCUGCGGUGUAGACAGCUUACUGGACCACGACUGACGCUGAGACACGAAAGCGUGGGUAGCAAACAGG
rnacentral:rRNA from 1 species